GGCGGGGCUCGGCCCGAGGCGCGGCCGCUCCCGGAGCGCGGGGCCCGGCGGCCCCGUCGGGAGGGAAGCCCUGCCCACAUCCGGCGGAGCUGUGGCUGCUCAGGGGCGGCGUUACAUCGAUCGGCCCCGUCCCGCUCCCACGCGCAUCCCGGCCGCCGGGAGCAGCGCCAGCGGCAGCUGAUCGCAGAGCCGUGACUGGACGGGACGGCGCGAACCGCACCCAGGGCGCGCGGCCCACGCGGAAGGAGCGGCGGCGUCUGCAAGGCCCGGCGCUGCUCUGCUCCUACCCUGUCCCCUGUGUGACCUUCAGCAUCCCGUGAAACAUCAGUUCCCUCAGCAGGAGGCUCAGGACAACGGCAUGCCGGCCUGUGGGGGCACCCGGAGAGGCUGCAAACGUGGCCGCGGGGCCAGCGGUGUCGAUCAGUCAGCGUUUCCCACUUAGCCGCUCACUGGGACGUGCUGCCUACAGCUUCCCCCCCUCCUCCCCCCCUUUAAGAUGGAACAGUCACUGGGUAGGAAGCAGCAGCGUUAACAACCAGACCCGUCCCUGACAGUUUAAGUAUCUUCUUUUAAUUUUCUUACAACCACUUAAAACCAUCAUAUACCACAAACUUAUGUACAUUAUUUACAGGCAAAACAAGCAAAAUAUCCCUCCAAAAUAUUUUUUAAAAAAGCCUCUGGUUAAAUUGUUCCACCUGCUCCAGCAGCGGUGGUGCUUCGCAUGCGCAUUCUCUUGUUCGUGUUUCUCUUCCAUUUAGUACUUCAGUCUCACUGCAUAUAUAUAUAUAUAUAUAUAUAUAUAUAUAUUUAAAAGUGAAAGAAGGAUAAAACCAGAAGCAGAAGGGACACAACACAAUAUGCAUUUAAAUCUUUGUUUAAGAAUAAGCAGCUAAUUAAAAAAAGGCGAAAUACAGGAAAAGUGCAUCAGUUCCAAUGAGUUAGUAUAAGAAACAGGCCCAGGCGUGGAGAGCAGGUACCCCUUAGGGCAAAGCCUCCCCAAAGGCCUCUGAUUGUCUACAAGGAUUAUUUUUUAAUUUCUUUUAAACAGAAAUAAUAAUAAUAAUAAAAGGAAUCAAAGAGGAGCGGAGAAAGAUGAUGCCUCCAGAAAAAAAAAAAAUAUUUUUCCACAAGGUUUCUUGGAAACUGGUGGUCAACAACUUUUGGGGAGUGGGCAAGAACCAUUUGUGCCCGGAAUUCAUUGUUCAUUCACACACGUUGAGCAGGACUCGAGCAGCAGGCCUGUUCCUCUUGAACUGUGCAACGCCAGAGGACGUCUGCAGGCUGCGUGCCCGCCGUCAUGCCGUCAGGAUGAGUUUUGUCAGUGCAAGACCUGCUCGCUCCCAUGGCUUAAAGCUGAGCCAGACACCGCUGGCUUUGCACCUAACGGGAACUGUGUCUUCCCAUCAAAAAAUCCACCUUUAUUGUCUGGUGCAUUUCGGGACAAGAGAUGCAACUCUGAAGAAGCUGGAAAUGACCAUGGAGACAAAGUGCCACUAAACAAAAUCAUACCUGGUCAAGGAAAAUUCUCGCCAGCGGUGC
rnacentral:lncRNA from 1 species